GAGGAACUCUUGGUCAACCUCAGGCUCAGAGAUUUCACAAGUGAAGGGUCCUCAGUAGGAGCUCUUCCCCUCGCCUUUGAGCUCAGCACUUCUGCUCCCUCUACUUCCCCUAUUUCCCCCAUAAGGACUCUCUUUCUCUGUUCCCUUAGUUCUUCUUUCUUCUCAGAGAAUCAGAAGCAGUAAGAGAAGAGUCAGCGUACUGCCCCUUGUACUGCCUCCCCAGGUUCCAGACUGAGGAGGCAUGAGGUGAGGUGUCCUUACCCCCUAAAUGCCUGAAGAGGUCCAGAAUGGCCAGAGAAGCCCCACUGCUGCUGUUCCUGAUGUCACUGGGAAUCUCAGGCUCCCAGGAAACAAGAAGUUUGGAUGAGAACUACUUAAGAAAAGAAGGGCAGAUGUUGAAUGUAAGCUGCUCGUAUCCUCUCAAGGACCAUGAGAAGUCUUGGAAAGUUUGGUGUAAACUACAAGAGAAUAGAAAGGAUUGUAACAAAUUAGUGGUCAUAACAAAAUUCUGGGUUUUCACCAAAGAAGGUAAAUUCUCCCUUCAAUUAAUUGAUGAGUCUAAGUCUGGCCACAUCAUCAUCAUAAUGUCAGGACUCAGGGAAAAGGACUCAGGACAUUACUGGUGCAUGACCAUCAAGAAAAACAAUGCCAUUAUCCUCAAGAGAAUCCACCUGGUAGUGUCUCCAGCCCAGAACACCACCAAAGAGAUUUGGACUACUUCAGGAGUCCCUUCCAACACUCCAGCCACCUGCAGUCUUAUUGAGCACCUCUCUUCUCCAUGCGAAGAAAAGAGAGCCAGGAAGCCCAAGUUUCUUAGAAAAGGAGAAAUUCCUCAUUUUGGGUGUGGUCCUGACCUUCCUGCUCCUAUUAGGGGUCCUUAUUACAGGAACUGUGUACAUCAAGAAACUCCACCAGAAAGUCAAGAAAGGGCAUCACCAAGGAGAUGGACUAUGAAGAAGGUCCUGGGGACAUCCAUUAUGCCUCAGUGACCUACAUUGGCCCCAGAGAACCGAUGUGCACAAACACACAGAAGGCAUCCAGCUCGAAGACUAUGCAAAUGCCCUUUGAGUCUGUGGAAUAUGCCAGCAUCACAAGGGCUGAACAUCAGCAUCCCAAAUCAACAGCCAUAUAUGAGUCAAUGGGCAAGGAGAGUUAGUCAUCUGUAGGUGCUUAAUAAAUACAUGUUGAUUGCUAAUAUAGAAAUAUGU
rnacentral:lncRNA from 1 species